GUAAAAUACAGGAAAGGGCUGGGAUGGGGCUCAGGCCGAGGGCCCUGGGUUCAAUCCCUGGUUACAAAAAAUAAUAAUAAUAAAAGCAUCAGCAGCAGCAGGCCUGGGGGCCUGCACGGCACUUGGUAUCAGGGCCUGCCUUUUGGGUUGUAGGUAACUGCCCUGCGGGUCUGGCUGCCCCGUUGACAUCUAGACACACUCGGGAUUGAAGAGACGCCUGGGAACAGGGCCCUCCUUCCCGUUUCUGUGAGGCGCUUCAUGUUGGGGACCCCGCACGGUCCUUCACCUCGAGGAUCAGGAAAUGUUUUUAAAAGAGGAAAAAAGCCCCAAGGGUAGAUGACACCAAUAACCUAUGAGUGUGGUGAGGAACUGGGGUCAGGCUCAGGAUGUGGCUCCGUUCUGGGGCCCGGGUCUCCUGCCCUCCAGGGCUGGUGCUGCUUCUCACCCGUCUGCUUCCCACAACAAGGUCUUAAGCUUCACACUAGGGGUCAUUCUGGGCUUGGGGUUAGGGAUCGGGACCUCGGCCUGCAUGCCUGUCCCUGUUCUCUCACACGCUCCAGUCGGGGCAGCCUCUGCGCCUCGCUUCCUGGGAACUUCCUGUGGCCCUCGCUCUGUGUGCGACACCCGCUCCAGGCCCUUCGCCGGCUCACUGCCUGUCAGCUGCUCAGUGUGGCCGGGGCUGCACGCGGGGGGGCUCUUUCUCUUGGCUGAGAAUCUAGGUUCCUGAUGGCUGCAUGUCUGGCCCGGCCUGUCAUCUGUCACUCACCCACCAGCCUGUCAUGAGCUCCCAGCUCAGCUUCAACACCCCCUCGAGCUCGAUGAGCACUGCUGAAACAGCCGGCGUCCCUGUGGUCUGCAGUGAGGCACAGACUGUCCCCAGGAAUGGUUUCUCCAUAAAGUGCCACUAACUCCGUCUGCAGUUGUAUUCAUUUAUAUUAUUUUGUUUUGGAUUUUAGAGAUUUAAAAAUGGUUUUGAUUAACUGCAUUUUGGAAUUACAUGAAAUAUUUACCCAAUUUCAAAAUCAAAUCUAAAAACCAGUUUGUCCUCUCUCUCGGCUCCCGGCUGCCAUGAGGGGGCUUCUCUUCUUGUACACCUUGCUCACCCCAGGGAACAGUGAGCAAGAC
rnacentral:lncRNA from 1 species